rnacentral:sRNA from 1 species
CUAGCCCAUCCCUCUACUUUUUGAUCGUAUAUAAACUAUCUUCACAUAUUAAAAUCGAUUAGCGGAACCUCUACCAUGAGUCAACGUCAUCCUUGCUCCACCUUGCAAUACACCUUCCCUCAUCCUUACGCCUACACUGCCUUGCACCAUCCCCAUCCCAGUCCCUACCAGCAUGGAUUGGCUGGAAUCCAUCGACGGUGCACUCAUGUGCUGUUGCAGAGGGGUAGGUCUGGCUGAUCCAGGGCGGUUCACUAAAUCAAUCUCGAGUCAGCUUCAACCUCUAAAGUCGUUAAGUUCGACACUAUUUGACAUACCGAAAGAAGGGUUUGACAUCUUUAGCCUCUCAAUAAAACUUGAUUGCGGUCGCUGAGGGACAGACAUUUGCGGUUGUUGCGCUUGCAGUGAUUGGGCGUUGAAGCUUCGUUCGUGUUGAUUGGGUAACUUUGUUCCAGGUCUUUCCUCAGCUGCGCGGCGAUUUGGCGAAGGGUUCGCUGGGUCAUAUCUGUACGCUCUGUAAAGCAAAGCAACCACAGCAUUCCAUCAGUACACAUCCUCUUUUCAUUGCUCCGUCGCAGAAUCUUACUCCAGGCGUGACUUAACAUCAGCACCAUCUGCAUUCAUUUCAUCCGUCAUAUGUCUAAACCCCAUAGUGCUCUGCGGUCUUCCCCCAGAGCCCCGCAAAGGUGCUUGUGGCGGUGCCCCCAAUCGUGGAAUAGCCUUGGGCGCUGUAGAGCUGAAUCCGCGUGACAUGGGACGGGUAGGUUGGAAAUUGUGUGAGGGCUGAGGAUGUUGGAGAUGUUGAGGUCCUUCAGAGGCACCUGAGGCAGGGGUGGGCGGGACGAAUCUGGGUUGCAAGUCAAGGUUCUGACCAUUUUGCUUUUCCAUUGAUAUGACGGAUGUACGUACCGUCGAGGUUGUUGUUCUAGUAUAUCAAUCCUUCUUCUCUUAUUCGACCUCUCAACAUCUCCUGCCUUACCCAUCCCAUACCCAAAACCUACUGUUGGCUGCUGUUCUUCCUCUUGCACAGUUGGUAACAUUGGCGGCGGUGGCAUGUAUCCGUU